UACAGAGGUCUCGAGCGUUAGGCGGAAUCACUGGGCUUAAAGCGUGUGUAGGCGGAUCGUUAAAGUACCUUGUGAAAUCCCCACGGCUUAACCGUGGAACUGCUUGGUAUACUGGGCGGUCUUGAGCCAGCUAGGGGCUACCGGGAACAAAUGGUGGAGCGGUGAAAUGCGUAGAUAUCAAUUUGGAACGCCAAUGGGUGAAA
rnacentral:rRNA from 1 species